CCACAUCGUCACGGCGAUGACAAUCAUCACAGUAGGUGAAUUUUUGUGUGAAAUCCGCCAUGAUAUCAUCAAGUGUGGUGUGUAACCCGCGUAUCUGUAUCUGCGUGACCUCCCCAAAGUUUACAGCCUUGCAUAAAAUAGAAAU